rnacentral:rRNA from 2 species
GAGACUGCCGGUGACAAACCGGAGGAAGGUGGGGACGACGUCAGAUCAUCAUGCCCCUUAUGACCUGGGCUACACACGUGCUACAAUGGACGGUACAACGAGUCGCAAGCUCGCGAGAGUAAGCUAAUCUCUUAAAGCCGUUCUCAGUUCGGACUGUAGGCUGCAACUCGCCUACACGAAGUCGGAAUCGCUAGUAAUCGCGGAUCAGCAUGCCGCGGUGAAUACGUUCCCGGGCCUUGUACACACCGCCCGUCACACCAUGGGAGUUUGUAACGCCCAAAGUCGGUGGCCUAACCUUUAUGGAGGGAGCCGCCUAAGGCGGGACAGAUGACUGGGGUGAAGUCGUAACAAGGUAGCCGUAGGAGAACCUGCGGCUGGAUCACCUCCUUUCUAAGGAA